rnacentral:rRNA from 1 species
UACGAAGGGGGCUAGCGUUGCUCGGAAUCACUGGGCGUAAAGGGUGCGUAGGCGGGGUUUUAAGUCAGGGGUGAAAUCCUGGAGCUCAACUCCAGAACUGCCUUUGAUACUGAAGAUCUUGAGUUCGGGAGAGGUGAGUGGAACUGCGAGUGUAGAGGUGAAAUUCGUAGAUAUUCGCAAGAACACCAGUGGCAAAGGCGGCUCACUGGCCCGAUACUGACGCUGAGGCACGAAAGCGUGGGGAGCAAACAGG